rnacentral:rRNA from 1 species
GUCGAACGCUGGCGGCGUGCUUAAUACAUGCAAGUAGGACGCAGUUGCGAACGGGUUAGUAACGCGUAGGUAACUGCCUAUUAGAGGGGGAUAACUAUUGGAAACGAUAGCUAAUACCGCAUACUAGUAGAUGGACCUACGUUGUAUUAGCUAGUAGGUAGGGUAAUGGCCUACCUAGGCGACGAUGCAUAGCAGACCUGGGAGGGUGACAGGCCAAACUGGGACUGGGAAACGGGCCAGGCUCCUACGGGAGGCAGCAGGAGGGGAACUUCGGGAAUGGGGGGAACCCUGACCGAGCAAAGCCGCGUGGGUGAAGAAGGUUUUCGGAUCGUAAAGCUCUGUUGUUAAGGAAGCGGUACUUAACCAGAAAGGGACGGCUAACUACGUGCCAGCAGCCGCGGUAAUAC